GUACCUGCUUUGUGAGCCUGGACAAGUCCCUACAGGGGAACAGAGAAGAACACUGGUUAUGGGACUUGCCCAGUUACAGGGGCCGUCCACAGAGGAGUGUGUCUUAGAGCUCAAACCUCCGCCUGGCUGGCAUCUCACUUGUUCCUGGCUGACCCGGUGAAAAGCAUUGCUGGAGGAGUCAGCUAAGGUCGUAUUUGCCAAAGCAUCGGAAAGCAACAAAUCCCUGUGCAAGCAGCAGCCGUGGAUCACCUGCUCCAGAGGCCUCUGCACUGCCAUUGGGUAGAGCCAAGGGUGAACAUCAGAAGUCGGAUGGCAGAGCUAGAAAAGAUGGACUGAAGACCAGAACCUGAGUCUACCCCUAAAUCACCACCAGGCCAUGGGCAAGUCACAAUCCUUGCUGGGCCUCAUCUGCACAACCAGAAAGUUGUGGCUGGGAUUCUCAGAGCUUUGCUGUGAAUAGCCUGUGGUGGCCGAUAGAUCUUUCUGCUUCUCUUGGGUCUGGCUGCAAGAUGAAAGAGCGGGAGGGAAGAGAGGGAAGCUGAAAAGCAAGGUCAAUCAAUUCUGAGCCAAGACAGAGCCUAAGAGAUAGGGCGUGGCAUGCUGAAAGAUGAUGGCUGGCAAAAAUCAUUAGAAGCAUCUUUCAACAAUCUAUAUGCCGUUAUUGAUUUUGUUAUGGAUCUUCUCCUUCCAUCCCUUUCCCCCCACCCCAAGAUCUUCUGGAUCAAUACAGCAAGUGCAUUGAGACUGUAGCAACACAUUUAAAACCUUAUAAAAGGUUAUUUAGUUGCUAACAGUGCAGUGGUUUCUGCAGAGCCUGCCAAAAGGUUACAGCUUUUUGGGGAUCAUAAAUUACAGGCGACAGGAAAAAAGUAAGUGCGGUUUUCUUUAUUGUCUCAAUGAUGGAUGGACUCCUGAACAGGGCAGAAAAUACAUCAUAUCACCUUUAAUGGGCGUGCAUUUCUGCAGCCAUAACUCACCAUUUUAAAAUAGAAAAUGGUGAAAUAUGGCAUUGUAUAUUCCACUUGUGACAUAUUUAUGAGUCCUUGCCUUCUUAUAAAUACAGUGAUUGCUAUUUCAAAGCUCCGUGUCAGGUAUGAGCUGAGCGCAAACAGCUGGUGCGGCUGAAAAAUUAUAGCCAGAGUGGACGUUUUCAAAAACUCUCUCUCACAGCAGUAAAUUUACAGUGUUUGCACUAACUGUUAUUAAAACCAAAUCCAUAUCUUGGCAACAGGAAUCCAUCGUUCAGUAACAGCUGGAAUGACAGUGUGCCCGACAGCUGGGCUGAGCUGUAUCUUGGCCAUGAUGCACAUCAAGGGGGAAGGUCAAGGACUUCAGACUAAGCCCUGGGGGCCUCCCCGCCAGGGCUGUCUAAGCCAGGAGUCCCCAGGGCACACAUAGUCUCCUGUCUGACUCUUGGGUCUGGGAGCUGCUUCUAGCUCCUUCUCUUGUCUGGGAACUACCCUCAGUGUAGGCCUUUGAGGCAUUCAGGCUUUCCCUACUCCCCCUCUUUCCUCCAUGAGUCACUCCAGCUCUGGAGGAGUUGAAAACAGGAACAGACCCUAUGGUAGAGCCAGAGGGGAAACAACUACAGGCAAAGUUCAUCAGGGAUGUGGGGAGGCCAACUGGACUGCAGGUAAAAACCAAAGGGGGUGGGGGUACCAAUAACUCUUGUUGGUUUAUGUUCUCCUGCCUACUACUUUUCACUUCAGUCAAAAGAUUUGUUGAGUCCUCUUAUGAACUGGCUGCCACUAGAAAACAAAAAGAACAUGUCAUAGCUUUUUCUCCUAAGAUGCUUAUAGUCUAUAGGUAGCCUGAAACUCGGCGGCAUACAUCCCCUUUUCUCAAUUAUUUCCUAUGGCUGUUUUGACAGAUAAAACACAGACAUUAUGUUCAAUGUAAGAUCCAGGCACAAAAGAAUACACACUUGGGUUCAAUUUGUGAUCCAGUUCUAAAGAUAGGCAAGAGGAAUCUGUGGGAGGAAAGGUGGAAGUAACAGUAUUCAGGAAAGCCACUGUGCAGAACAUUUAACAUUAGUGGCCUUUACAAACUUCAUGUUCGUGAUCUCAGCUCUCCCCAGCAUCCUCUACCAUAAUCAACACAGAGAGCUACCAUCUGUGGUCUGGCUUCACAGAUGUGGCGACUGAGGCUCAGAGUCAGUGUCCAGGGAAGUUCUAACUCCAUUCUGAAGCCAACAUUUACCAUCUCAGUGAGAUUCUUGCUUACGGUCUUCUUGGCAGCAUGAUCUUCUCUGCACACACCCACUGCCACUGACAACCUGGAUGAAGAAGCAGAGUGGUUCACUACAGGAAGUGGACCAAUUAGAAUCUUGCAUCAGGAAUUCCUGAAAGUCUAGAACACAGAUCUGUGUUGAAAUGCUACAUGUGGAAGAGGUCCCAGCUUGUUUGGAGUGACUCUUGCCCAGAUGAUUUCAUCAAGGGACUUCUGCGUGAGCUCUUUCAGGAAAUGAUUUCGUCUGAGAAGCACAGUGUAAGAGGCAUGAAGAAGUCAACUCUGCCACCUCCAAGUUAGAAAAAGAGGAAACUUGGCCAAAUCACACCCAGCAUCUGUGACCAAUGAGCCUUGAGUCAGGCCUGAAAGAGAAUUUAAAAGAAAAAAAAUCAAAAACAACAGUUGUCUCAAAUACCUUGCUCCUUGGGUACCUUGGUUGUAUGAGACUCUCUCUGCAUGGCACAAAUGGGCACCAGAGGGGCUAUUUCAGCCCUGCUAUGCCAGCCCUCAAUGUGGCACUACAGCUCUAUUUGUUUUGAGUUUAUACCAUGUGUACUCGGUGCAUGCACACAUUUUAUUGUCUCUGAAAUCAGGGUGUCUGUUAGUGGCAGUGACAUCUUUGAUUUACUCAUGUUGCAGGGGACACGUGCUAGCCAUGCAUCCUCAGAUCUCACUAGAGUUUUAUUACAAAGUUGUUAGCAAUAUUUUGUUUAAAAUUUUGCACAUGCUUUGUUGUCUUCUCAGCUGAAUACAAACACUUGACCUUUUGACAUCCUGGUAGAAUGUGCCUCUAAUUAUAAUGCACUACUAAAUAUAAAUACAACUUCUCUUUUUAACCCCUUUAUUUCCCCCAGAGAUAACCACCAGGGCUUAAGGGCCUGAUGUGUAUACUUUGAUUUCUGAACUCUCUAUAGAAGAUAUUUGUGUUUUUACAACAAUGGCAUCGUGCCAUGGAAAGAUCUGUAACAUGAUGUCCAUCACAUUGAAACUUAACAUCCUCUUUUGAGUCCAAAACAUGGCUCUCAUGUUUUGUGAUGACUGUAUGUGUUCUGUUGUGUGGGUGUAGCAUUAUUUAUAUACCUAAUCACCAAAUUUAUAUACCUAAUCAUCAAAUUACUCAUUGUAAAGGAUGGGUUCUGGUAAUUUUUGAUAAGCACU